UGUCAUCUCGUGGGGUGCUGACAUCGUCGGCUGAGAAUGCGAACGCUAAACCCAUAAACCUGAUCCAGAUAAUGCUGGCGUAGGAAUGAGAUGUCUCAGAUCC
rnacentral:ncRNA from 1 species